rnacentral:rRNA from 1 species
GACGAACGCUGGCGGCGUGCUUAACACAUGCAAGUCGAACGAUGAAGCCCAGCUUGCUGGGUGGAAGAGUGGCGAACGGGUGAGUAACACGUGAGUAACCUGCCCUGAACUCUGGGAUAAGCACUGGAAACGGUGUCUAAUACUGGAUACGACCUAUCACCGCAUGGUGUGUGGGUGGAAAGAUUUAUCGGUUCUGGAUGGACUCGCGGCCUAUCAGCUAGAUGGUGAGGUAAUGGCUCACCAUGGCGACGACGGGUAGCCGGCCUGAGAGGGUGACCGGCCACACUGGGACUGAGAGACGGCCCAGAAUCCUACGGGAGGCAGCAGUGGGGAAUAUUGCACAAUGGGCGCAAGCCUGAUGCAGCAACGCCGCGUGAGGGAUGACGGCCUUCGGGUUGUAAACCUCUUUUAGUAGGGAAGAAGCGAAAGUGACGGUACCUGCAGAAAAAGCACCGGCUAACUACGUG